GAAUCUGACAGUGUAGAGUACAAGAGUAUUAGACCUUCAAGACUGUACAAUAAUGAAGGUUGCUGUUCUUUUUGUCAUUAGCUGCUUCAUUGCAACUGCUUAUAGCAACAGCAUAAACGCAGAGAAAGUGAUUGCUGACGGCACAGAAUCUGGUUUAACUUGCAAAUGUUUAUUAGCUAAAUGCAACUUAGAAUCAGGAAUCUACACGUGUGAUGCUGACAGUAAUUGUGUCUGUCGUUCUGAAACAGAGGGCUAUAAACCAAGUUACUGCAAAUGUAAGGAGGGAUACUGUAAGGAGAAGGUUCCAGGUGUACUGUAUUGCAAAAAUGGCUGUAGCUGCACUGUAUGAUAAACACUGGAAGCAAAUGAAAAACAUAAUUAGAUGAAUCUCUUAGUUAAAAUUACAAUGUAGUAUAUGCUGCAGUUUCAUUAUUAUCUUUCAUAAAACAUUUAGUAAAUCAUUAAGUAUAAAACCAAA